ensembl:lncRNA
UUUUUCCCAACUAAUGUGGUAAAACACAGCAAUUUGCCUUCCUUGUGUCUUUAAUUAUCAGAAGUGUAAAAUAAUCAUUGCUAAUUUAUAUGUGCCACCUGGCAAUAUCUCAAUUCUUUCCUAAGAAUUAUAUGAAGCCAUUCAUAUAUAUAUUCAUGGUAAUUGAAAUGCUGAUUCAUGGUAAUUAAUUCUGAUUCAUGACUUAGAGUAUCUUAUAGAAAAUUGAGGACACCACCAAUUUGGUUUUUAGAAAGUUUUGGUACACAGACCAGCUACAAUGACUAUUCAAUUUCUUCACUGCUGAGAAGAGGCAAAAAAAAUAGGUUAGUGUUCCUCAACAUUUGUAUAAUUUAAAUACGGUUCAAUGCAAUCUCUCUUAGAGUUUUAAGCAAAUUUAGCUGAAGACUUAACCGUUCUACUUAACUUUAUGUGCCAAAGUAGUAAAUUGUCUUUUAAAAUUAUUAUCAAGUUUUGUCAUAGGACACAAAGGUGAAAUCACUCACAAAUUAACCGUUUGUAAUUUGUGAUGCGGCCCAUUAGGUCAGAUUUCUACCAGCUACUUCUGUCUCUUUGCUUCCUAUUCUCACUAUUUUUGCAAAUUAGGUUACAAAUCUUUAAAACAGUGAUUUAAAAUUUUCCAUCUUUAAAUUUCAGUACUUUGGGGAAAACUUACAGUCUUUUUGUUCUCUAUUAUCUGUCCCUUUGAUUCAAAAAUAUACAUACACAAGUUGUCUCCCUUCAGUCAUGAAGACUGCAUGUUUUUCAGUAUUCUGAGUAAAGACUGGUAUGUCAUUUCUAUUAUGUAUUUUCCAUCUGAUACAGAUUAAAAAUGAAUGGUAACAUAUGGCUAAGCAAUCUUAAAUUUGAUUUCCUAUGUGAAGUAAGAACUCCCUAAAGAGAAAAGAAAAAAGUAUAGUCAUGUUUUAAACAGUUUAACAUAAAAACAGAACUGUAUUUUCUGGGAAAGUAGGUGUGAGCCUGUCAUAGAUAUUCAAACUUUCAAUUACUUGAAUUAAACUUACAUAGGAGCCUACAAAAAAUUUUCAAAUUUGUCACAAAAAUAAAUUUAAAAUUUAAUAAUUUACCAGAUAAUUUAAAAAAUAUUGUAGUAAUUAAUAUUUUCUAGUCUCAGAAUUUAUUGUUUAUAUUUCCCUAAGGAAAAAUAAUAAUAAUAAUAAUUGCAUUACUCCACUUUACCUUGAUUAAUACUAUAAAAACAAUCUUUAUGAAAACAGACAUUCUCUGCAUUAAUGAGAAGUAAAAUUGAUGUAAAAUUUAAGUCUUACAAUGAUUAAGUCAAUUGUUUUACUUUCAAAUACUUUUGAGUAAGUAUUGAGUAUCUGAAAACUCUACAUAUAACUUAACUUUAAAGAGGAAUGCAUUUUAUGCCUCUUCAGUACAGAAAAUUCCUGUUUUGCUAAUUGGCUUUAAUUUGCUGCUAAUUAGAUGUUUGUGGAACAGCCCUCAUUUCCAGUAACUUCUAAAAUCUAAAACUUUUACAACUUGUAUUUAACAAAAAAUGCUUUUUGAAAGAUAUUUUUAUUAUCCCU